GUAGGUGGCAAGCGUUGUCCGGAAUUAUUGGGGCGUAAAGCGCGCGCAGGCGGUUCUUUAAGUCUGAUGUGAAAGCCCACGGGCUCAACCGUGGAGGGUCAUUGGAAACUGGAGAACUUGAGUACAGAAGAGGAAAGCGGAAUUCCACGUGUAGCGGUGAAAUGCGUAGAGAUGUGGAGGAACACCAGCGGCGAAGGCGGCUUUCUGGUCUGUAACUGACGCUGAGGCGCGAAAGCGUGGGGAGCAAACAGGAUUAGAUACCCUGGUAGUCCACGCCGUAAACGAUGAGUGCUAAGUGUUAGGGGGUUUCCGCCCCUUAGUGCUGCAGCUAACGCAUUAAGCACUCCGCCUGGGGAGUACGGCCGCAAAGGCUG
rnacentral:rRNA from 1 species